UAGAUUGAACGCUGGCGGUAUGCUUAACACAUGCAAGUCGAACGGAAACGAUACUAGCUUGCUAGUAGGCGUCGAGUGGCGGACGGGUGAGUAACGCGUAGGAAUCUACCUGAUAGUGGGGGAUAGCCCGAAGAAAUUCGGAUUAAUAUCGCAUAAUCUAUUCGUAGUAAAGUGGGGGACUUUCGAGCCUCACGCUAUCAGAUGAGCCUGCGUAAGAUUAGCUAGUUGGUAGGGUAAAAGCCUACCAAGGCGACGAUCUUUAGCUGGUCUGAGAGGAUGAUCAGCCACAUCGGGACUGAGACACGGCCCGAACUCCUACGGGAGGCAGCAGUGGGGAAUAUUGGACAAUGGGGGCAACCCUGAUCCAGCAAUACCGCGUGUGUGAAGAAGGCCUGAGGGUUGUAAAGCACUUUCAAUUGUGAAGAAAAGCUAGUGGUUAAUAGCCAUUAGCCUUGACGUUAACUUUAGAAGAAGCACCGGCUAACUCCGUGCCAGCAGCCGCGGUAAUACGGAGGGUGCAAGCGUUAAUCGGAAUUACUGGGCGUAAAGCGUGCGUAGGCGGUUUAUUAAGUCAGAUGUGAAAGCCCCGGGCUUAACCUGGGAACUGCAUUUGAAACUGGUCAACUAGAGUAUGGUAGAGGAAAGUGGAAUUUCUGGUGUAGCGGUGAAAUGCGUAGAUAUCAGAAGGAACAUCAAUGGCGAAGGCAACUUUCUGGACCAAUACUGACGCUGAGGUACGAAAGCGUGGGUAGCAAACAGGAUUAGAUACCCUGGUAGUCCACGCCGUAAACGAUGAUAACUAGCCGUUGGGGGGGAUUUACCCCUUAGUGGCGAAGCUAACGCGUNAAGUUAUCCGCCUGGGGAGUAC
rnacentral:rRNA from 1 species